rnacentral:tRNA from 1 species
AAAGAUUUAGGUUAAACAAACCAAAGACCUUCAAAGCCUUAAACAGAAGUAAUAAACUCUAAUCUUUG